ACGAACGCUGGCGGCGUGCUUAACACCUGCAAGUCGAACGGAAAGGCCCUGCUUUUGUGGGGUGCUCGAGUGGCGAACGGGUGAGUAACACGUGAGUAACCUGCCCUUGACUUUGGGAUAACUUCAGGAAACUGGGGCUAAUACCGGAUAGGAGCUCCUGCUGCAUGGUGGGGGUUGGAAAGUUUCGGCGGUUGGAGAUGGACUCGCGGCUUAUCAGCUUGUUGGUGGGGUAGUGGCUUACCACGGCUUUGACGGGUAGCCGGCCUGAGAGGGUGACCGGCGACAUGGGGACUGAGGGAGGGACCAGAAGCGUACGGGAGGCAGCAGGGGGAAGUAUGGCAGAAUGGGCGGAAGACUGAGGCAGCAACGCUGGGUGCGGGAUGUCGGCCUUCGGGUUGUAAACAGAUUUCGCCGGUGACGAAGCGUGAGUGACGGUAAUGGGUAAAGAAGCACCGGCUAACUACGUG
rnacentral:rRNA from 1 species